rnacentral:rRNA from 1 species
GACGGAGGGGGCUAGCGUUGUUCGGAAUUACUGGGCGUAAAGAGCGCGUAGGCGGAUUAAUAAGUUGGAAGUGAAAGCCCGGGGCUUAACCUCGGAAUUGCUUUCAAAACUGUUAGUCUAGAGUGAAGUAGGGGGUGAUGGAAUUCCAAGUGUAGAGGUGAAAUUCUUAGAUAUUUGGAGGAACACCGGUGGCGAAGACGGUCACCUGGGCUUCAACUGACGCUGAGGCGCGAAAGCGUGGGGAGCAAACAGG